rnacentral:miRNA from 1 species
UCUGUUCAACCUCUAAGCAGCAGCAGCAGCAGCAGCAGCAGCAGCAGCAGCAGCAGCAGCGGCAACGGCAGCAGCAGCAGUU